rnacentral:rRNA from 1 species
CAGUCGCCGCGGUAAUACGUAGGGUGCAAGCGUUAAUCGGAAUUACUGGGCGUAAAGCGUGCGCAGGCGGUUAUAUAAGACAGAUGUGAAAUCCCCGGGCUCAACCUGGGAACUGCAUUUGUGACUGUAUAGCUAGAGUACGGCAGAGGGGGAUGGAAUUCCGCGUGUAGCAGUGAAAUGCGUAGAUAUGCGGAGGAACACCGAUGGCGAAGGCAAUCCCCUGGGCCUGUACUGACGCUCAUACACGAAAGCGUGGGGAGCAAACAGGAUUAGAUACCCCCGUAGUCCCUGUCUCUUAUAC